rnacentral:misc_RNA from 1 species
GAUGAAGAACGUAGCGAAAUGCGAUACUUGGUGUGAAUUGCAGAAUCCCGUGAACCAUCGAGUCUUUGAACGCAAGUUGCGCCCGAAGCCAUUAGGCCGAGGGCACGCCUGCCUGGGCGUCACACGUCGUUGCCCCCCCAUCUACUCCUUCGGGAUUGCGGGGGGCGGAUGAUGGCCUCUCGUGCGCCUCGUCGCGCGGUUGGCCUAAAUGCCAAGUCCUCGGCGACGCACGCCACGACAAUCGGUGGUUGCGAAACCUCGGUUGCCUGUCGUGUGCGGUCGUCGCGCAUCGAGGGCUCGAAAAAACUGCCGGGCUUCGGCUCGACUUUCAACGCGACCCCAGGUCAGGCGGGGUUACCCGCUGAAUUUAAGCAUAUCAAUAAGCGGAGGA